GACUACUCUGAAGGUAACAAGUUAUUUCAAUCAUUGUUCAGUCAGUUAGACUGCCUUGUUACUAUUUCCUUCCUUCUCACUACUGCACUCACUAGUCUUAA
rnacentral:Y_RNA from 1 species